rnacentral:rRNA from 1 species
AACGAACGCUGGCGGCAGGCUUAACACAUGCAAGUCGAACGCAUCCUUCGGGAUGAGUGGCAGACGGGUGAGUAACGCGUGGGAACGUGCCCAGAGGUACGGACUAACAACGGGAACUGUUGCGUAAUGCCCGUAUACGCCCUUAGGGGGAAGAUUUAUCGCCUUUGGAUCGGCCCGCGGUUGGAUUAGGUAGUUGGGGAGGUAAUGGCUCACCAAGCCGACGAUCCAUAGCU